AGAUUGACCCCAAAGUAGCCUUUCCUAGGAGAGCACAUCCAAAGAUGGUAACCAGGACGAAAAAAAUAUUCGUCGGAGGAUUAUCCGCGCCUACCACAUUAGAAGAUGUAAAAAGUUACUUCGAGCAAUUUGGACCGAUAGAGGACGCGAUGCUCAUGUUUGACAAGCAAACAAAUAGGCAUAGAGGU